CCAGACUCCUACGGGAGGCAGCAGUGGGGAAUAUUGGACAAUGGGGGGAACCCUGAUCCAGCGACGCCGCGUGAGUGAAGAAGUAUUUCGGUAUGUAAAGCUCUAUCAGCAGGGAAGAAAGAAAUGACGGUACCUGACUAAGAAGCCCCGGCUAACUACGUGCCAGCAGCCGCGGUAAUACGUAGGGGGCAAGCGUUAUCCGGAUUUACUGGGUGUAAAGGGAGCGUAGACGGCAAUGCAAGCCAGAUGUGAAAGCCCGGGGCUCAACCCCGGGACUGCAUUUGGAACUGUGUAGCUGGAGUGUCGGAGAGGCAGGCGGAAUUCCUAGUGUAGCGGUGAAAUGCGUAGAUAUUAGGAGGAACACCAGUGGCGAAGGCGGCCUGCUGGACGAUGACUGACGUUGAGGCUCGAAAGCGUGGGGAGCAAACAGGAUUAGAUACCCCCGUAC
rnacentral:rRNA from 1 species